AAAAACCUCAGUGAUCUACUGAAGAACCCACAAUUCAAGCUGGAAAUACUAGUUCUGUGUAAAUGCAGUAUUAAAGAGAAGCAGUGUGUCUCCCUGACUUCAGCUCUGAAAUCAAACCCAUCACACCUGAGAGAACUGGACCUGAGUGGGAAUGAAGUAGGAGACUCUGGAGUUGAAAACCUGGGUGUUCUGUUGAUCAGUUCACAAAGCAAGCUGGAGAAACUACAUCUGUGUGGAUGCAGAAUUACAGAGAAACAGUGUCUCAUCCUGACUUCAGCUC